CCUACGGGAGACAGCAGUGAGGAAUAUUGGUCAAUGGACGCAAGUCUGAACCAGCCAUGCCGCGUGCAGGAAGACGGCCCUAUGAGUUGUAAACUGCUUUUGUACGAGGGUAAACUCAGAUACGCGUAUCUUUCUGAAAGUAUCGUACGAAUAAGGAUCGGCCAACCCCGUGCCAGCAGCCGCGGUAAUACGGAGGAUUCAAGCGUUAUCCGGAUUUAUUGGGUUUAAAGGGUGCGUAGGCGGUAGGGUAAGUUAGUUGUGAAACCCCGUGGCUCAACUUCGGAAUUGCCUCUGAUACUGGUCGGCUAGAGAGUAGUUGCGGUAGGCGGAAUGUAUGGUGUAGCGGUGAAAUGCUUAGAGAUCAUACAGAACACCGAUUGCGAAGGCAGCUUACCAAGCUACUUCUGACGUUGAGGCACGAAAGCGUGGGUAGCAAACAGGAUUAGAUACCCCAGUAGUC
rnacentral:rRNA from 1 species